CACCAAACGAUAUCACCUAUACUUUCUAUCAAAUAUAUAUGCUUUAAUAAUUUGAACAUCAAACAACAUAACUUAUCAAUAUAACUUAACAAUGUUCCAUAAACAUACCUGUGACGAAGUGCCCUUCGCCACUUGUGCCUGGAGAGGACUGCUUGCCCGCCUCUUGCCCUGUGACUAUGGCCCAUGGGAUGUAUUGCACUUUAAAGACAUGAUUUGGGCAUAAUGGAUUUGUGUUGUGCUGCUGCUGGCCCUUUAAGAACCAUCUGGGGACAUACUGUGGAGUUACUGGGUGGCCACCAUUUCCUGUAUCAGAAGCACAUGGUGAGAACAAUGGAUGGCGGCCAUUUUAACUCACAGACACUGUUUGGACUUUUCAACACGGUGCCAUCUCGCCAGUAUUUGGUGCACAGAGACAUCGUGCAGUGGUUUUGGACUAUACAGCAGGGGACACAUUAUAAAGUGAUUGUUUUUCAUUUAGCCUUUAUAUGUUCUGCAGAAUCUGCAUUAAACUGUAUUUUCCAAAGUACUGAACGGAUCUGGGUGAAUUUUGGAUAUGUGGUUCACCCAGAUCCCCCGGUUCCAA